AAUAAUGAUGAGAUGGCUAUCAUAUAUACCCAUCUUCCUGGUUUGUUCUAUCACAUCUUUGUCAUUGCGGAGUGGUGCAAAUAAGAUGCGUUCUCUCUUUCUUGCUAUUUUUUGGUUCCCACCUUUUAUAGCUCUGCUGGGGACCCUAUCAGUACAUUGGUGGUGCGUAAUUUGGGAGAAUGAGACAACUCGUGAACCAGACAAAAACUUGGAUUAGAGAAAAUGGUUAUAUAAUAACCAGAGAUGAUAAAACCAAAAGAUUGGUCCUCCUAGAAAAAACAAAGUACAACAAUUAUCCUCUAGAAUAUAUACAAGACACCCACCCAAAACCACUACGAAAAGACCCUAUUAUGCAGUUAAAAGCACUCACCGAUAAACUAGUAAAACAUCACUUAUUCCCAGGGGAGUGGAAACACAAGCAUUCAGGCCCCAGCUUG
rnacentral:lncRNA from 1 species